rnacentral:tRNA from 1 species
GGGGUUGUGGCUCAGUGGUAGAGCACUCGCCUUGUACAUGUGAGAACCUGGGUUCAAUCCUCAGCACCACA